AAAGUCGUAACAAGGUUUCCGUAGGUGAACCUGCGGAAGGAUCAUUACAGAGAUCAUGCCCUUCGGGGUAGACCUCCCACCCUUUGUUAUACCAACGAAUGUUGCUUUGGCGAGCCGCCCUAGGCCGUCGGCCUCGGCUGACGCGUGCUCGCCAGAGACCCCAAACUCUGUAUCAGUGUCCGUCUGAGUACUAUAUAAUAGUUAAAACUUUCAACAACGGAUCUCUUGGUUCUG
rnacentral:misc_RNA from 1 species